rnacentral:rRNA from 1 species
CUACGGGAGGCAGCAGUGGGGAAUAUUGGUCAAUGGGCGCAAGCCUGAACCAGCCACGCCGCGUGAGUGAUGAAGGCCUUCGGGUUGUAAAGCUCUGUGGGGAGGGACGAAAACGGUCCGGAAGAAACGCCGGAUCCUUGACGGUACCUCCUUAGCAAGCACCGGCUAACUCUGUGCCAGCAGCCGCGGUAAUACAGAGGGUGCGAACGUUGCUCGGAAUUACUGGGCGUAAAGCGCGUGUAGGCGGGACGAAAAGUCGGAAGUGAAAUCCCCGGGCUCAACCCGGGAACUGCUUUCGAAACUGCCGUCCUCGAGUACCGGAGAGGGUGGCGGAAUUCCUGGUGUAGAGGUGAAAUUCGUAGAUAUCAGGAGGAACACCGGUGGCGAAGGCGGCCACCUGGACGGUCACUGACGCUGAGACGCGAAAGCGUGGGGAGCAAACAGGAUUAGAUACCCUUGUAGUCC